UUAGGAGAUUUUAUUUUACAAGAAACAAACAUCUGAAAAUGGCAAGUGACGUUGUUAUUUUGGAAGAUAAAAAUAUGGCGGGUGUUUUCCCCUUCUGAAAAUAACUGACACAUUUGCAUCCUAAUGGCUAUUUAAAAAUAAAAUGACCAAAAAUAGUAUCUAUGAUGAUGGGAGUCCCUAAAUAUUUGCAUAACUACCCAUCACUCCGUGUCAAAUUGCAACUGAGGCUGCGAAAGGGAAGCACAUAAAUCGACGCCAUUUUUCAUCAGAUCCACAUGAAUAGUAGGUUUCUGUGCUCACAAAAUCCUAGUAAUAUCCUUUUAAUGAUAUCAAUAGAAAUAAGGAAUAAAGAAGAGCAGGAAACAUUUCCAUUUUGAGGAUUUAUGGAACAGAGAACUAUUUGACUUGUUUUUACUUUAACUUGGACUUUUUAACAAUAAUGCUUCUUAAAUUUUAAACUUUAUUGUUAUGCGUUUGUUUUUUUUUAACUUUCAAAGUAUUAAGUUGUAUUAAAUUUUGUUUAUUUGAUUGAAGUUUAUUUUUCUUAUAAUAACUUAAGAUAUUAUUCACAUAUGUUUCAUCUUAACAUUAUUUUUAUGCAUUUGUAUUUAUUUAUCUUUUAAUAAACUUUUUUUUCUUAA